rnacentral:sRNA from 1 species
GUUGUUGUUUAGGAGAAAGUAAGAUAAGAAUAGCUGUGUAUUUUCAUCCUUUGUUGAAUUUUUUUUCUUUCUUUUAGAAUACUUUGACUUAAAAAAUAAUCAUUCAGAUGUAAAAGACACAAUCAAAUCUAAAAAUUUGACCAGAAAAUACAUUUUGUGAUACAACAUGUAAUAGAUUUAAUAUAUUUAUAUAACAUUUGAUAAAUCAUUUGAAUUUAUUGAAAAAAUCAAAUUUAAAAAGUGAAGAGGAUAAAAAAAAACCAGUCAUAAUUUCCUUGCUGUUGUAUUCUUUUCAUUUGUAAAUCAGUUGGGUUAACCUUGAUACUCAGGACAUACUUAAAAGCCGUUAGGUAAAACAUUUUUUGCACCUCAAAGCUACUUUGAAAAGAACCAAUUUGAUAAUGCCCAAAUUUUAAAAUUAAGGGGGGGGGGGUGUUUUGUUGUUGUUGUUGUUGUACUUAAGAGUGACAUUAUAAUGUUCUCAAGGACUGGAAUUUUAAAAUAAGGGAACUAGGUCUCUGAGCUUUUAUAAAGAAUUACUUCUGAAUUUAAAAAAGAUAGAGUUACAGAGAGUCUGUGAUACUGUUAAAUCUGAUAUAAACUCAGUGUGAUAUGGUAGAUUGUGUGUAACGACCAGACCUUUGUUAUCUCCUUGCACUGGGUCCCAAUCUCUUGACACAGCUUUAUGCAUUGAACAUGUCCCCUCAAGGACAAGGUUGGCAGGAGAGGUUCUUGGGUUCAGUUUGCAUACACAUGUAUUUUCAUCGCGAAUUCACAUGCAAAUUUUGAUUUCUAUUAUUAAAAGAAGUGCAUGUAUUUCAUUGAUAAAGAUAAAAAAUCAGGUUUUACAACAGUCAUGGUUUGAAAAUUCAUUUUACAUUUACCAUUUGAAAAGUUGUGUUCACAGAAUUUGCAAGGAACCUUUGAUACAGAUUUUAAGUUUAUCAUUAAUAAUCAUUGCCCAGUUUGAUGAUUGUCGUUGUGUACUCUCCCUUUGUUUGUGUGUUAUCUAUGUGUGUUUUACCUAUGCCAUGCUAAAGACACUCAAAAUCUUUAUCUUUGAAAAUUUGUAAAUAUACUUGACAAAUGUUAAACUAUUAUUAAAAUAGAGAGAAAAAAC